rnacentral:rRNA from 1 species
AACGAACGCUGGCGGCAGGCCUAAAACAUGCAAGUCGAACGAUCUAGCAAUAGAUAGUGGCGCACGGGUGAGUAACACGUGGGAAUAUCCCUUUCACUACGGGACAACGUCGGGAAACUGACGCUAAUACCGUAUAAUGUCUCCGGACCAAAGAUUUAUCGGUGAAAGAUUAGCCCGCGUCUGAUUAGCUAGUUGGUGAGGUAACGGCUCACCUAGGCAACGAUCAGUAGCUGGUCUGAGAGGAUGAUCAGCCACACUGGAACUGAGACACGGUCCAGACUCCUACGGGAGGCAGCAGUUAGGAAACUUCCGCAAUGGGCGAAAGCCUGACGGAGCGACACCGCGUGAAGGAUGAAGCCCUUUCUGGGUGUAAACUUCUGUUGUGAGGGACGAAAUUUUUGACGGUACCUCACGAGAAAGCACCGGCUAAUUCUGUGCCAGCCGCCGCCGUAA